rnacentral:rRNA from 1 species
AGUGAACGCUGGCGGUAGGCCUAACACAUGCAAGUCGAACGGCGGCACAGUAAGAGCUUGCUCUUACGGGUGGCGAGUGGCGGACGGGUGAGGAAUACAUCGGAAUCUACUUUUUCGUGGGGGAUAACGUAGGGAAACUUACGCUAAUACCGCAUACGACCUACGGGUGAAAGCAGGGGAUCUUCGGACCUUGCGCGAUUGAAUGAGCCGAUGUCGGAUUAGCUAGUUGGCGGGGUAAAGGCCCACCAAGGCGACGAUCCGUAGCUGGUCUGAGAGGAUGAUCAGCCACACUGGAACUGAGGCACGGUCCAGACUCCUACGGGAGGCAGCAGUGGGGAAUAUUGGACAAUGGGCGCAAGCCUGAUCCAGCCAUACCGCGUGGGUGAAGAAGGCCUUCGGGUUGUAAAGCCCUUUUGUUGGGAAAGAAAAGCAGCAGGUUAAUACCCCGCUGUUCUGACGGUACCCAAAGAAUAAGCACCGGCUAACUUCGUG